rnacentral:rRNA from 1 species
CUACGGAACUCCUACGGGAGGCAGCAGUGGGGAAUAUUGCACAAUGGGGGAAACCCUGAUGCAGCGACGCAGCGUGCGGGAUGACGGCCUUCGGGUUGUAAGCCGCUUUCAGCAGGGAAGAAGCCCUUCGGGGUGACGGUACCUGCAGAAGAAGUACCGGCUAACUACGUGCCAGCAGCCGCGGUAAUACGUAGGGUACAAGCGUUGUCCGGAAUUAUUGGGCGUAAAGAGCUCGUAGGCGGUUUGUCGCGUCUGCUGUGAAAACGCAAGGCUUAACCUUGCGCCUGCAGUGGGUACGGGCAGACUAGAGUGCGGUAGGGGAGACUGGAAUUCCUGGUGUAGCGGUGGAAUGCGCAGAUAUCAGGAGGAACACCGAUGGCGAAGGCAGGUCUCUGGGCCGUUACUGACGCUGAGGAGCGAAAGCAUGGGGAGCGAACAGGAUUAGAAACCCUUGUAGUCCUCUUCGA